rnacentral:rRNA from 1 species
AGCGAACGCUGGCGGCAUGCUUAACACAUGCAGGUCGCACGGUCGGGGGCAACUCCGGCAGUGGCGGACGGGUGAGUAACGCGUAGGAAUCUAUCCUUGGGUGGGGGACAACCGUGGGAAACUACGGCUAAUACCGCAUGAUCCCUGAGGGGCAAAGGCGCAAGUCGCCUUAGGAGGAGCCUGCGUCUGAUUAGCUUGUUGGUGGGGUAAAGGCCCUACCAAGGCGACGAUCAGUAGCUGGUCUGAGAGGAUGAUCAGCCACAUUGGGACUGAGACACGGCCCAAACUCCUACGGGAGGCAGCAGUGGGGAAUAUUGGACAAUGGGCGCAAGCCUGAUCCAGCAAUGCCGCGUGGGUGAAGAAGGUCUUCGGAUUGUAAAGCCCUUUCGACGGGGACGAUGAUGACGGUACCCGUAGAAGAAGCCCCGGCUAACUUCGUG